AACAUACCUGACUCAUCGACAGAUUGGACACCUACAAACCGUCACACGAUAAUAAAAACUGAUCUCGGGGUGUUAUCUUUCACAAGUAAGACUCAACUCCUUAAGGAAAGCUGAGGAAAGCUGUUCUCUGCAUUUCCAAGAGACAAGACUAUACCUCCCUAGACUAAUGUUGUGUUUGUACUAAACCCAGAGCAGCCCUGAAUGAAUCGACAGAAUGACCCUGCUCAUAUUCUAAUACUAUAGACUGCAUUUAAAAAGCUUUGCACAGACUGUUUAAUGCUGAUAAUGUACUGCGUGUGUCUUUACACAAAAAUUACAUGAUGUAAAUAGCCUAGAAAUGAAAAACACAGGAACUCAUAGUGAGUCCAGCUGCAAUAUCAUGAUGAAAUCAUUGUGAUGUUGUUAUAAUGAUUUUUAAUUUUGAUUAAUAUAAAGUUUUUUGAGGGGA